UACGUAGGGUGCAAGCGUUGUCCGGAAUUAUUGGGCGUAAAGAGCUCGUAGGCGGUUUGUCGCGUCUGCUGUGAAAACGCGAGGCUCAACCUCGCGCCUGCAGUGGGUACGGGCAGACUAGAGUGCGGUAGGGGAGAUUGGAAUUCAUGGUGUAGCGGUGGAAUGCGCAGAUAUCAGGAGGAACACCGAUGGCGAAGGCAGAUCUCUGGGCAGUAACUGACGCUGAGGAGCGAAAGCGUGGGGAGCGAACAGG
rnacentral:rRNA from 1 species